rnacentral:rRNA from 1 species
AAGAUUACUAAUGAGAUGGCGAACGGGUGAGUAAACGCGUGAGACAAUCCUGCCUAUGACAGUGGGAUAGCCUCGGGAAACCGGGAUUAAUACCGCAUAAAAUCGUAGAAACACAUGUUUCAACGGUCAAAGAUUUAUCGGUCAUAGAUGGGCUCGCGUCUGAUUAGCUAGUUGGUGAGAUAACAGCCCACCAAGGCGACGAUCAGUAGCCGGUCUGAGAGGAUGAACGGCCACAUUGGAACUGAGACACGGUCCAAACUCCUACGGGAGGCAGCAGUGGGGAAUAUUGCACAAUGGGGGAAACCCUGAUGCAGCGACGCCGCGUGAACGAAGAAGGUAUUCGUAUCGUAAAGUUCUUUUAUAUGGGAAGAUAAUGACGGUACCAUAAGAAAAAGCCCCGGCUAACUACGUGCCAGCAGCCGCGGUAAUACGUAGGGGGCUAGCGUUGUCCGGAAUCACUGGGCGUAAAGGGUUCGCAGGCGGAAAUGCAAGUCAGAUGUAAAAGGCAGUAGCUUAACUACUGUAAGCAUUUGAAACUGCAUAUCUUGAGAAGAGUAGAGGUAAGUGGAAUUUUUAGUGUAGCGGUGAAAUGCGUAGAUAUUAAAAAGAAUACCGGUGGCGAAGGCGACUUACUGGGCUCAUUCUGACGCUGAGGAACGAAAGCGUGGGUAGCAAACAGGAUUAGAUACCCUGGUAGUCCACGCUGUAAACGAUGAGUGCUAGGUAUCGGAAUAAUUCGGUGCCGCAGUUAACACAUUAAGCACUCCGCCUGGGGAGUACGUGCGCAAGCAUG